GGGCGCAGGGCGAAUGCCUUGGCACUGGGAGCCGAUGAAAGACGUGAUAAGCUGCGAUAAGCUUCGGGGAGCUGCAAAUAAGCAUUGAUCCGGAGAUUUCUGAAUGAGGAAACUCACCUGGGUUCAUACUCAGGUACGUUGUACUGAAAUUCAAAAUAGGUACAUCGGGGGAACCGCCUGAACUGAAACAUCUAAGUAGGGCGAGGAAGAGACAUCAAACGAGAUUCCGUAAGUAGUGGCGAGCGAACGCGGAAGAGGGCAAACCGGGAGUAGAAAUACUUCCGGGGUACGGAGCGCAUUUAAGACUCAAGUUGUUAACCGAACGGCAUGGGAAGGCCGGUCAGAGAGUGUGAGAACCACGUAGGUGAAAACGGAAAGAGCUGCGCAGAUUCCAGAGUACGGCCAGACACGUGAAACCUGGUCGGAAGAUGGGGGGACCACCCUCCAACCCUAAAUACUACCCAGUGACCGAUAGCGUAUAGUACUGUGAAGGAAAGGUGAAAAGCACCCCGGGAGGGGAGUGAAAAAGAACCUGAAACCCUGUGCCUACAAGCACCUAGAGCGCGUCAAUGCGUGAUAGGGUACUUUUUGUAGAACGGUCCGGCGAGCGAUUGUAUGCAGCAAGGUUAAGGACUUAAGGUCUGGAGCCGAAGCGAAAGCGAGUUUGAAAAGGGCGUUAAGUUGCAUAUAAUGGGCCCGAAACCGGGUGACCUACCCAUGGUCAGGUUGAAGUGGAAGUAAAAUUCCAUGGAGGACCGAACCGACCUCCGUUGAAAAGGCGGCGGAUGAACUGUGGGUAGCGGAGAAAUUCCAAUCGAACCCGGAGAUAGCUGGUUCUCCCCGAAAUAGUUUUAGGACUAGCCUCAAGUUAGAUACCUGGAGGUAAAGCACUGAAUAGCCUAGCGGCCGAGAGGUUAGCGAAGCUUAUCAAACUCAGAAUGCCAGAGUAUUGAUGCUUGGGAGUCAGACAGUGUCAGAUAAAUGUCAUUGUCAAAAGGGAAACAGCCCAGAUCUACAGCUAAGGUCCCAAAGUCAGGUUAAGUGGAAAACGAUGUGAAGAUACGCAGACAACCAGGAUGUUGGCUCAGAAGCAGCCACUCAUUCAAAGAGUGCGUAAUAGCUCACUGGUCGAGCGUCUUUGCGCGGAGAAUUUAACGGGGCUAAACCUGACACCGAAGCUUAGGCAAUCCAGUAAUGGAUUGGGUAGGGGAGCGUUGUAUACGCGGAGAAACAGUAGCGUAAGCGGCUGUGGAGUGUAUAGAAGUGAGAAUGCCGGAAUGAGUAGCGCGAAUGCAGUGAGAAUCUGCAUGGCCGAAAGCCUCAGGUUUUUGGAGGAAGGUUCGUCCGCUCCAAGUUAGUCGGGAGCUAAGGUGAGGCCGGAAGGCGUAGCCGAUGCACAGACGGUAGAGAUUCCGUCACCACCAAAAGAGUUAAGCACAGGGACACAUUUGAAGUCUCAGAGCCGGGUGUUGGUUCCGGUAGAGAUCGAGGGAAGUUAGUACCGAAGUCUGGGAUGGAAGAUGGCGAGAAAAGCUGUGUGUAUUUCUGAGGUGCCCGUACCGCAAACCGACACAGGUAGGUAGGAAGAAGAUUCUAAGGCCAACGGGAGAAGGGUUGUUAAGGAACUCGGCAAAUUGACCCCGUAACUUCGGGAGAAGGGGUGCUCCAGAGAUGGAGCCGCAGAGAAUCGGCCCAAGCAACUGUUUACCAAAAACACAGGUUUGUGCUAAAUCGAAAGAUGACGUAUACGAGCUGACGCCUGCCCGGUGCUGGAAGGUUAAGAGGAGAUGUGCAAGCAUUGAAUCGAAGCCCCAGUGAACGGCGGCCGUAACUAUAACGGUCCUAAGGUAGCGAAAUUCCUUGUCAGGUAAGUUCUGACCCGCA
rnacentral:rRNA from 1 species